CACUAAGGACGAGAGGAGGCCCAAACCAAAUGUAGUUCUCUCUCUUUUAUAGCUUUGUUUGAGUUGAGCCGAAUAGGAGAGGGGUGUGAGGCUCACAGUCACAGCGUGUUUCUUUCGUGAUCUAACCUGCUCCGGAUUCUCGGCUUGCUCGAACGAACAAGGCUUUUUGGAUUUCUGGGUAGACAGUUGUACAAUGAAUACGUGUAUUGUUCAUCAUUUCCAAAUGUUCAGUUGGAUCUUUCAAACUGGAGAAAUUGCAUGGAUCAGAAAAGCAAAACGUUGAAGGUAACUCAUGGCAAAUUUGUCUGUUCAGAGCUAGGUCUGCAGGGCUUUCUUUUUUCACUUUAUGAUUUGAUGAUUGGCUUUAGUGAUAUGAUGACCGGGCUUUGUAUAAAGUACAUGGGCAUGUUAACACUAAGAUUGUUCAAAGGAGUCUAAACAUGUGCAAAAUUUUAGUCGGAACUUUUAUAUUAGAUUGACAUUCAGCGGAGGUUACAUUCUAUUUUCCAUGGGUUUUUGUUUCAGAACUGCUAAUCUUCAUAAGGUGAACUUCUACAUAACCUGUUUGAAUUAAGACAAAACUAGUAUGAUACGUCAUGUGAGUAAAGCUAAAGUUGACAGUUUGUCUUUGUGUCUUUAGUCUCUAUAAUAUACUCAUCUUUUGACAUUAUUUUAAUUGCAAUUUGCAGAUUUGGGUGUCAAUAAUGAUUCAACUUUUGUUGCACUAAAGGAACUAAUUACUUAGUCAAUUAAAUGAAUCGGAGGAUUGUGUCGGAGAACAAGAGAAUUAUCAAGUAAGAUCUUUUUGGUUUCUAUUUUAGUUGCUAUAUUUCUUCCCAUUUAGACUAGAAUGACUAUUUUGCGUGACUACAUUAUGACAUUGUCAUGCUUCCUCUACAAAGCAUAGUUCACCUUAUAAUCUGAAAAGUGCAAACGCCACACACUUUCAUAUCUUUCUGUGAUUAAUUAUUAGCUCAAAUAAUUAGAGUUGCUUGCUUUUGUGGGCUGAUUUUCUUCAACUGUUGGAAAUUUGAAUCAUAAUAUUGAGUUUUAAGGAUCAAUCAAUUGCUAAAUUCUAGUUUCUGUUUCAUGCAACUAGUAGGCAUAUUUACUAUUAAUAAACUGUUGAUGUGAAAGACCUAGUUAUUUUUGUAAGAGCACAUGCUUGUGUGCAUGCGUGGGGUACUGUGUGACUUCUUUUGGCCUGAAUAGGAUGUUUCUGAGAAAAAUUAGGGGGCAUCUGUUGAGUUUCUGGGUUUGAGAAAGUAGUUGUAAAAACUGCUGCUGGAGUUUUGGCGUUUGAUAUUGAUGUAUAAGGACACUAAUUAGUGUAGUGUAUUUGUAAGAGAAGAUUGUGCUUUGAAUUAAUCGUCCAAGGAAAAAAUGUAUGUGUUGCUUUAAAUUUUUUUUUUUGAUAAGAGCAUGAUGGUUAGAUAGGCUAGAUUUAUGUUGGGUGUUAGAGUUGACUACUUUAUAGGGAGGAUUGGCCAAGAAUUAUGAUUCUUAAAGUUGAAGUGUGGUGAAGAUAAUUUUUUUUUAUCUGAUAGAAUGUGAUGCUGGGUUUCUAAAUCAGUCUCUUCUUUGAAGGAAUUUGGGGAAAGUACUUUAUAUGUGAUUUUGUUCUAUUAGGAGAUUUAGUGUUGUGUUAUUAGUCCGUCUGUUUUUCUAGAGGAAACGUUAUCCCCUUAUUUGUUAGUCCCAUGAGAAAAAGAAGUUGACAAUCACACAUUUAGGAUACAUUACUUGAGAAAAUUCUAUAGCGUUUAACAGAGUCAGAUUUCAUGUUUGGUGAUAGUUCAAGUAAUUGGAGGACAGAAAAUUUUCUAUGAAAAACAGAAACUGGAGUAUUAGCCCAUAGGUUAAAUCUAAUACAACUUGAAGGGACUAUGUGAGUGAGUAAGCCCUCCUGAUAUAGCUUUUUAUUUUUUAGUUGUUUAGAAAUAAACAAGGUAAAAUUGGGUUGAAGAAAGUUUUGCUCAUGUUCUAACGAGGUCCUUGGAAUGUCAUGCUCUGCCAGUUUUGGCUCAAAGAUGUCUUAAAUUAACUUUGUCAUAACAUUUCUUAAAACAGUUUUUGAGUUUUAAGAGAGUGAGGUUUUUUUACCACUUCUAACAGUCACUUAGUAAAAUUGAAACUCCUAAUUCAACAUGAUUGACUUCAAUUAGGAGACUUGUUGAGGACACCAAUACAUGCUAAUGAGUUCGAAAGGCCAAAGAACCUAAGUAGAGCCUUAUCACAAAAAAAUAAAAUAAAAAUAAAGUUGGACAUGAGAAUCCACAUAAUGGUAUUGUCAAAGCUUUGAAAUGGUAUGAUUGGUAUCCCAAGUAGAAACCAGUUGCAAUUUAAGUGACUAUUAACCAUUCUUUUCCAUAGACUGACAACGUUUCUUCCCUUGCACUUGAUCUGUAAAGUUGGUUUCUUUCUUUCCAUCUUUGCAAAUAGUAUAUUUCUUUUUUAACAGUAGCCAUGUCAGUUGGAUCUUGAAUUUAAGCUUCCUUUGAAAUGAAAUAGAUUUGUGGAGAUUAAACUAAGUUAAUAACUGUUUUAGAAACCAACAAGGUGAUACUUGUUUGGAAAUUGUAGUUUCCUUCUAAUUGUUCUGCUAUCAUCAAUGAGAUGUGUGCCCCACAUUCUGUAAUGCUACAAAUUGCAAGAAGUAGUUAUACUGUUUUUUCAUGUGUAUUAAUGAUUGAAAAUGGCUUUGAUUUGUAAUAAAUUUCACCAGGUUAAUCCUGACCUCAAUUUGCAAUAUGUGGACAUUGAAAAAUUGUCAUUGCUGUCAUUUUCCUCCUAUGCCCUUCUGUAUUAGUUCUUUUUUUCUUUCACAAACAAAAAAUAUUGUGAUACUCCAUUAUAGCCAGAUGAAUAUUUAAAUUCU